rnacentral:lncRNA from 1 species
GUUUACUGGAGGCUUAGCCAAAGCUUUUCCCUUCUCAGUUUUCAGUGCCCCAGAUUCCCAAGACAGAUGAGCAGGAGGAAGGAAUCCAAACUUCUAGAAACAGCUCAUCUUCCCUUGUGCUUGCCGCACUGGGUGCUUGGUGUGGGCUGGUGGCGUGUGUGUGUGUGUGUGUGUGUGUGUGUGUGUGUGUGUGUGCGCGCGCAGGAAUAUGCAGACCUCAGGGUUUCUAAGUGCCCGGCCACGGUCUGGUCUUGAUUAGGCAGGCGGAGGGAAGUGGGUCCACAGCAGCGAUCAGAGCUGCUGCAUCCAGCUGUGAGGCUGCAGAGCCAGAAACGCGUGCGACCUGAAAGGGAACACAUUUCUAGAGGGCCUCGGGCCAAGGUGGAGGUGAUGAGGGCAGGAUGCGGAGGCCAGCGGAGGACAAGUGCUGACUGGCAUGGGGAUGCUAUGGGUGGGGGGACGGUCAGGAAUUAGCAGCUGAUUUCAAGCGUUGGGAGGAGGUGCGGAGACAAGGAGGCAGCGGCUGGGGUGAUUCCAGAGUAAUUAGGGUGGAAAAUUCUGGAGCAUCCUCGCUGCUUCCCUCAGGACAGAGGCUGCGUGUUUCUCAGCUCUGUCCUGGCAGCGGCUGGCGGAGCAUGUGUGGGCUUCAUUGAAUACGCUGCCCGAGUGUCUUGCAGCUUUUCCCAGGCGUCUUCUGUGUCUCCUGGUCCCCACGGCUGCAACUUCGACAACUGAGUUCUCUUGCUCUGGCUGCAUUUCAGGACAAGAGCAUGCCUGCUUGAGGUGCCUAGAAUCCUGGCUGGACCCAAAACACUGCAGACUACUUGGUUUCUGUCCAAGGACAGCCCCAAUGGCCUGGACAGGCCUUUUUUCAUCGAGAACAUGGAGUAAACCCGUGGAGAAACCCCAAACUCCGAGACCAGAUCUGGAAAGAACUUUCUUGGCCCAAACUCACCCUUGGAUCAUCUCCAUUUCAUCCUCACGGCGUCAGCGUCCUUAUUUCCUUGUCUGUAAACGGAAGCAAAGUUGGACAGAGGUGUCUGUGACCUUGGACCCAGGGAGAUUUGGCCUCUAUUCCAGGAACUGCAGCUCUCUCUCCAGGAGGUGA